UACGUAGGGGGCAAGCGUUGUCCGGAUUUAUUGGUCGUAAAGCGCGUGUAGGCGGCCAGAUAGGUCUGCUGUGAAAAUUCGAGGCUCAACCUCGAGCUGUCGGCGGAAACCAUCUGGCUAGAGUCCGGAAGAGGAGAGUGGAAUUCCUGGUGUAGCGGUGAAAUGCGCAGAUAUCAGGAAGAACACCUAUGGCGAAGGCAGCUCUCUGGGACGGUACUGACGCUGAGACGCGAAAGCGUGGGGAGCGAACAGG
rnacentral:rRNA from 1 species